rnacentral:misc_RNA from 1 species
UAUAUAUAACAUUCUGCUUUAUUAGAGGAAAGAUAUGAUAGUUCAACUUAAAACUGUUUGAUGAAAGGAAAGGUUUAAAAAAAAUUGCUGUUGGAACGAAGCCCUAUGUCUGUAUUUCCACUGACAUGACUAUCCUUGCAUACGAAAUUUGUGUUUUCCUGCAUGCAAAGCAGACUUGUAUUCUUUGCUAUGCGUAUUCUUCUUUGUGCACAAGCCAUCAUCUUCUUUGGUGAUGUCUAGAUAUAUAGGACCAUAUCUGCUAACUUCAUUAUUAAUCUGAAAUUUCAAUACACAAUCCACAAGAAUCUAGGGCUUGUUCCGUUAUUGUCCCAGUAAAUCAGGGUUGAAUCAAAACAAUAUUUUCGUUUAUGUUCCUGUGAGCCAUUCUACAUAUAUACACGAUCAGUAUUUGCACAGCACUUGAGCUUUUGCUAGCCUAAUCGCUAGCCCCCCAGAAUCACAUGCUCUUUCCGAUCAUUUCUUCCACAGUAUCAGGAGUUUAAGCAGCAGUUUAGCCAUUCUGUUCCAGGAACACACACGAUCAGCUUCACUGAAAUUUCUUCCUAUUGCUAUUUGAAACGGCUAAGGGCUGAAAGCAUAUAUUUGCAUUACAAAAAAUGGAAUAGUAAUUCAUUCCAUACAUCAGGCACGCCAGGUAAGCACCAAUGUAUGCAAUCAGAGUACGUCAUAGGAUUCGACAACUGAUCAGGGCUCAGUGUCUCCCAAAAUUUUCGGUAGAUGGAAGGGUGGCCAUCUUUUCGGUACUCAGAUAACUGAGUGAUAUUAAGAACAGAAACGGUUGAACCCAAUCUGCUGAGGACUCUUUCUACCAUACGCAUUGUAGGCAAGUCAGAGCCACUUCCCCAAUAGCCCUCCCAAUCAAUAGGGAACUUCUCAUUAUAGCAAUUUCCUUCAUUUCCAGGCUUCCACUCCCGGCUCCUGAAUUAUGAAAAUAGUUUAAUAAAAACAUAAGAGGCAGUCCUCAAUGGAUUCACAACGUGGUGCCUACAAGUUAUAAGAGAAUUGACCUACGGAAGCUUCCUCAUGUAAUGGCAAUUGGCACACUAGAUGCUUGGCAAUCAUGAAUUACGAUAGGAUAAAACACAUUUCUAUUGUUUAUAUCAUUUUUUUUGGUAAUGUCAGACAGGAAUUCAGAUAGAGAGCCUCUAUAUAUGCCUGUGUGGAUACUUGUGAAACUGAUUGCAAAGGUAGGUUACAACCUUCACAUUUGCAUCUCAUGUUACUAUGUUCCAAUGGAAUAAAACAAACCAAUGAGUAUCUAAAUGCUUAUGAUACAAGACAGCAUGAUUGCAGAAGGAGAAAAAUUCCCCACCAAUUGGUUGUUUAAAGCUGGCAAUUAAUAAUUGGAAGAAGAGACAUUGGGAGAACUCCUUUUAUAAAAAGAGAGAUUAUUAGGUGCACCCAGUGCACAUGCACCCUCUCUCUGUAAACAUAGGUUUCACCUUUCUAUAAUGGUAGAAUAGAUACAAGAGAAUAGAUAACAAUUCGAGGAAAUUCCAGCAGGUCCUGAACUACCAAGAACAUACAAUGCAAAAUCUGAAUCAGCAUAUCACAAUUCAUUUUCAUUCAUCAACUUGCAUGUUAAAACUAAACUGAAAAAUUAUGAUAAGUCUUCUAUUUAAAUCUAUAACAGGAAAUAAUGGCAGAAUAGAACCAACUCCAUAUCUAUAAGUUUUAUAAUAUGCAUGCAAGUAACAAGAGAUGGUAAAAAUUAUGUUAUUCAGCUAACAAUCACCUGUUCUAAUUGGUCCUCUGUUCAAAUUGCAUGCUUAUUUAUUUUACCUUCAAGAAGCAAAAUAAUAUUUCCAUUGGAGAUGACAUAUCUUAACAAUGUGAAUUUGAGAUUAUCAUACAACAGGUUUUCUACUCACCAGAGAUGUGUUGGAGACAUGGUAACGAAGAAGACCCGUUUCUCAAGGGAAUUGGCCUUAGAAGCUACCCAGUCUGCCCAUGACUCCAUUGCCAAUUCCAUAGCUCCUAAUCCAUCUAAUUCCUCGCAAACCCCAUUUUCUUCAUUGCUCCAUAACAACUUAACAGGGCCUUGUCUCCACCACAAGUACGUGUUGAAAACUAGUAUAUCAGCAUGUUCCCACUUUGAUGAAUGCUUUAGAACUGAAUCUGGACGAAUUAUCCGCUCAUUCAAUCUAUGAUUCACAGGGUCAUCAGAAUUAGAAUCAACAAGAAGUGGGGCCCAUAGAAAUUCCACAGUAGCAUCGUAUUCCUCUGCCCUGAAAAUGGUAAGAGGAGCAUUUGGAGACAUAGAUCUCUUAUCCGCUGGGAUCACUGACUGUAACAAACAUACCAUUGAUAUCCAUUGCCCUCUAUUUAGUGAAUCACCCACAAACAUCAGUCUCUUCCCUCUCAACUUCUCCCACAUUUCAGUAACAUUCCAUCUCUUCAAAUUGCAGUUGUGAGGUUGCCACCUCCAGUACUGGUAUCCCAAAUCGGACCUUCCAUGCUUGUGACAUGCCAAUUGGUCAGACAUGUACGGACAAUCCGACUCAUUAUAAAGCGGGCACGAUUUAUUAUCAAAUACCCAUUUACCCGAAAACACAUCACAGCUCUCCAAACUCUCGCUCCGUUGACCCAAUUUCGGUUUCCGAUCAACCCAUUGGAUUUUCUUACCACUGUAGUCUUUAGUAACGUUGCAUCUAACGAACCUAUCCAAAACUUCUGGAACUCGGGAGGAGUGGGUAACGAGAUUUGGCUCUAUGUAAGUAACGGUAGUUUGUGGCUUGCGAGGGAGAUGAUCUGGGUGUUCAUGGAUUUGUUUAAUGCUAGUUUCGUUAUAAAGAAUUGAACAAGUUAUGAAGACGAGCAAGACAAAUACCGCCAAAGGAAAAUGGGAUUUCUUUCUGCUCCAUCUCUGCAUCAUGGGAGGAGGCAGGAAGCAGGAAGAGAAUGGAAUUGAAGAUGGAGAAUUCUUGACCUGAGCUCUGCUAUUUAGCUGGCAUUGGUUAGUUAGUACUGAGGCAUCUUGGGGGUUGACCUUCGCAUGUAUGACGGGUGAGGCUACCCCUGACCCUCUGAUAUGCUACAUCUAGUUCUUUUGUUUUUCCUCAAACCCUCUAAUAGAAAAAUUGUUUCAUCCUUAUUAAAAAAGAAUUAAAAUAUUUCAUAAGUAUUUGCAGUUGCGUGGAAUUGUAUCACA